UUAAGCGACUAAGCGUACACGGUGGAUGCCCUGGCAGUCAGAGGCGAUGAAGGACGUGCUAAUCUGCGAUAAGCGUCGGUAAGGUGAUAUGAACCGUUAUAACCGGCGAUUUCCGAAUGGGGAAACCCAGUGUGAUCCGUCACACUAUCAUUAACUGAAUCCAUAGGUUAAUGAGGCGAACCGGGGGAACUGAAACAUCUAAGUACCCCGAGGAAAAGAAAUCAACCGAGAUUCCCCCAGUAGCGGCGAGCGAACGGGGAGGAGCCCAGAGCCUGAAUCAGUGUGUGUGUUAGUGGAAGCGUCUGGAAAGGCGUGCGAUACAGGGUGACAGCCCCGUACACAAAAAUGCACAUGCUGUGAGCUCGAUGAGUAGGGCGGGACACGUGGUAUCCUGUCUGAAUAUGGGGGGACCAUCCUCCAAGGCUAAAUACUCCUGACUGACCGAUAGUGAACCAGUACCGUGAGGGAAAGGCGAAAAGAACCCCGGCGAGGGGAGUGAAAAAGAACCUGAAACCGUGUACGUACAAGCAGUGGGAGCCUCUUUAUGGGGUGACUGCGUACCUUUUGUAUAAUGGGUCAGCGACUUAUAUUCUGUAGCAAGGUUAACCGAAUAGGGGAGCCGAAGGGAAACCGAGUCUUAACUGGGCGUUAAGUUGCAGGGUAUAGACCCGAAACCCGGUGAUCUAGCCAUGGGCAGGUUGAAGGUUGGGUAACACUAACUGGAGGACCGAACCGACUAAUGUUGAAAAAUUAGCGGAUGACUUGUGGCUGGGGGUGAAAGGCCAAUCAAACCGGGAGAUAGCUGGUUCUCCCCGAAAGCUAUUUAGGUAGCGCCUCGUGAAUUCAUCUCCGGGGGUAGAGCACUGUUUCGGCAAGGGGGUCAUCCCGACUUACCAACCCGAUGCAAACUGCGAAUACCGGAGAAUGUUAUCACGGGAGACACACGGCGGGUGCUAACGUCCGUCGUGAAGAGGGAAACAACCCAGACCGCCAGCUAAGGUCCCAAAGUCAUGGUUAAGUGGGAAACGAUGUGGGAAGGCCCAGACAGCCAGGAUGUUGGCUUAGAAGCAGCCAUCAUUUAAAGAAAGCGUAAUAGCUCACUGGUCGAGUCGGCCUGCGCGGAAGAUGUAACGGGGCUAAACCAUGCACCGAAGCUGCGGCAGCGACACUAUGUGUUGUUGGGUAGGGGAGCGUUCUGUAAGCCGUUGAAGGUGUGCUGUGAGGCAUGCUGGAGGUAUCAGAAGUGCGAAUGCUGACAUAAGUAACGAUAAAGCGGGUGAAAAGCCCGCUCGCCGGAAGACCAAGGGUUCCUGUCCAACGUUAAUCGGGGCAGGGUGAGUCGACCCCUAAGGCGAGGCCGAAAGGCGUAGUCGAUGGGAAACAGGUUAAUAUUCCUGUACUUGGUGUUACUGCGAAGGGGGGACGGAGAAGGCUAUGUUGGCCGGGCGACGGUUGUCCCGGUUUAAGCGUGUAGGCUGAUUUUCCAGGCAAAUCCGGAGAAUCAAGGCUGAGGCGUGAUGACGAGGCACUACGGUGCUGAAGCAACAAAUGCCCUGCUUCCAGGAAAAGCCUCUAAGCAUCAGGUAACAUCAAAUCGUACCCCAAACCGACACAGGUGGUCAGGUAGAGAAUACCAAGGCGCUUGAGAGAACUCGGGUGAAGGAACUAGGCAAAAUGGUGCCGUAACUUCGGGAGAAGGCACGCUGAUAUGUAGGUGAAGCGACUUGCUCGUGGAGCUGAAAUCAGUCGAAGAUACCAGCUGGCUGCAACUGUUUAUUAAAAACACAGCACUGUGCAAACACGAAAGUGGACGUAUACGGUGUGACGCCUGCCCGGUGCCGGAAGGUUAAUUGAUGGGGUCAGCCGCAAGGCGAAGCUCUUGAUCGAAGCCCCGGUAAACGGCGGCCGUAACUAUAACGGUCCUAAGGUAGCGAAAUUCCUUGUCGGGUAAGUUCCGACCUGCACGAAUGGCGUAAUGAUGGCCAGGCUGUCUCCACCCGAGACUCAGUGAAAUUGAACUCGCUGUGAAGAUGCAGUGUACCCGCGGCAAGACGGAAAGACCCCGUGAACCUUUACUAUAGCUUGACACUGAACAUUGAGCCUUGAUGUGUAGGAUAGGUGGGAGGCUUUGAAGUGUGGACGCCAGUCUGCAUGGAGCCGACCUUGAAAUACCACCCUUUAAUGUUUGAUGUUCUAACGUGGACCCGUGAUCCGGGUUGCGGACAGUGUCUGGUGGGUAGUUUGACUGGGGCGGUCUCCUCCUAAAGAGUAACGGAGGAGCACGAAGGUUGGCUAAUCCUGGUCGGACAUCAGGAGGUUAGUGCAAUGGCAUAAGCCAGCUUGACUGCGAGCGUGACGGCGCGAGCAGGUGCGAAAGCAGGUCAUAGUGAUCCGGUGGUUCUGAAUGGAAGGGCCAUCGCUCAACGGAUAAAAGGUACUCCGGGGAUAACAGGCUGAUACCGCCCAAGAGUUCAUAUCGACGGCGGUGUUUGGCACCUCGAUGUCGGCUCAUCACAUCCUGGGGCUGAAGUAGGUCCCAAGGGUAUGGCUGUUCGCCAUUUAAAGUGGUACGCGAGCUGGGUUUAGAACGUCGUGAGACAGUUCGGUCCCUAUCUGCCGUGGGCGCUGGAGAACUGAGGGGGGCUGCUCCUAGUACGAGAGGACCGGAGUGGACGCAUCACUGGUGUUCGGGUUGUCAUGCCAAUGGCACUGCCCGGUAGCUAAAUGCGGAAGAGAUAAGUGCUGAAAGCAUCUAAGCACGAAACUUGCCCCGAGAUGAGUUCUCCCUGAGACUUUAAGUCUCCUGAAGGAACGUUGAAGACGACGACGUUGAUAGGCCGGGUGUGUAAGCGCAGCGAUGCGUUGAGCUAACCGGUACUAAUGAACCGUGAGGCUUAACCUU
rnacentral:rRNA from 1 species